GUUCCACUGUGUGAAUAGGAUUUCUUAUUUGCAAUAAAAGCAAGCUAUUUGAUUGUCAGUGCAACCCUCCUCGCAAAUAUAUUUAGAAGCAGAGGAUUGAGCACAAGGGUAAUGCAGCAACAGCCCAACAAAUAAAUACAUUAACACCAUAUACGUGUAACUAUUUUAAGAAAAUAGGAACAUGGAGAGGACAAUGCAUUCCCUGAUGUAACAGCCCAAGUCUACCGCUAGUAGAUAUUGUCCGCUUUGGUCCGUUACGUAUCGCCAUCAACCUCACGGCUUUAAAACGUAUCUACUAGGGAGACGUUUCCACACUCUUA